CCCUUAGAUGUUCUGGGCUGCACACGUGCUACACUGGCAGGUUCAGCGAGCUUCAUGCCCUGAUCUGAAAGGAAUGGGAAAUCUUUUCAAAACCUGCCGUGCUUGGGAUAGAUGUUUGCAAUUAUUCAUCUUCAACGAGGAUUGCCUUGUAAGCGCACGUCAUCAGCGUGCAUUGAAUACGACCCUGUAUUCUGUACACACCGCCCGUCGCUCCUACCGAUUGAAGUUUUCGGUGAGUUGACAGGAGGAUUUUUUUGAAACUGGUUCGCCGGUGGAUUUUAGAUCCAAAUGCCAACGAAUCGAUGGCUUUAGAGGAGGGAGAAGUCGUAACA
rnacentral:rRNA from 1 species